ACGCGAAGAAACCUUACCCAGGCUUGACAUGCACAGGAAUAUAGCAGAGAUGUUAUAGCUCUUCGGAGUCUGUGCACAGGUGCUGCAUGGCUGUCGUCAGCUCGUGCCGUGAGGUGUUGGGUUAAGUCCCGCAACGAGCGCAACCCUUAUCAUUAGUUGCCAACAUUUAAGGUGGGAACUCUAAUGAGACUGCCCAGGUUAACUGGGAGGAAGGUGAGGAUGACGUCAAGUCCGCAUGGCCCUUAUGCCUGGGGCUACACACGUGCUACAAUGGUCGGUACAGAAGGCAGCGAAGCCGCGAGGUGGAGCAAAUCCGAUAAAGCCGGCCCCAGUUCAGAUUGUAGUCUGCAACUCGACUACAUGAAGAUGGAAUUGCUAGUAAUGGCGAGUCAGCAACAUCGCCGUGAAUACGUUCCCGGGUCUUGUACACACCG
rnacentral:rRNA from 1 species